rnacentral:rRNA from 1 species
GACGAACCGUACGAACGUUAUUCGGAAUCACUGGGCUUAAAGGGUGCGUAGGCGGCGCGACAGGUUGGGUGUGAAAUCCCUCGGCUCAACCGAGGAACUGCGCCCAAAACUGUCGUGCUCGAGGGAGACAGAGGUGAGCGGAACUUAGGGUGGAGCGGUGAAAUGCGUUGAUAUCCUAAGGAACACCGGUGGCGAAAGCGGCGCGCUGGAUCCCUUCUGACGCUGAGGCGCGAAAGCCAGGGGAGCAAACGGG